rnacentral:rRNA from 1 species
GAUGAACGCUAGCGGCAGGCCUAACACAUGCAAGUCGAGGGGUAGCAGAGAGAAGCUUGCUUCUCUGCUGACGAGCGGCGGACGGGUGAGUAAUGCCUAGGAAUUUGCCUAGUAGUGGGGGAUAACUUGCCGAAAGGUAAGCUAAUACCGCAUACGUCCUACGGGAGAAAGGAGGGGACCUUCGGGCCUUUCGCUAUUAGAUGAGCCUAGGUCGGAUUAGUUAGUUGGUGAGGUAAUGGCUCACCAAGACCGCGAUCCGUAACUGGUCUGAGAGGAUGAUCAGUCACACUGGAACUGAGACACGGUCCAGACUCCUACGGGAGGCAGCAGUGGGGAAUAUUGGACAAUGGGGGGAACCCUGAUCCAGCCAUGCCGCGUGUGUGAAGAAGGUCUUAGGAUUGUAAAGCACUUUAAGUUGGGAGGAAGAGCAGUUAACUAAUAUUUGACUGUUUUGACGUUACCGACAGAAUAAGCACCGGCUAACUUCGUGCCAGCCGCCGCCGUAA